UGCUCAUUCAUCUAGGAUGACUAGCCAAUGAGCUUCAGCAGGUGCCCAGUGGCUGCGUGCCAACACGUUGACUUGCCUCCCAUGCUGCUGACGUUCACCAGCCUCCCCUUGGACUUUCUAAGUAGAGGCAGAAACGCCUUGGUGACCUCGACAGUUCCGAAGAAGUUCACGGCCAUGCAUUUUCUGUAGAUGCUCAUGGGUAUGAGUUCCCCGUCGAUAGGUAAGUGGAAGACCCCGGCAUUGUUAACCACGGCCCACAGUCCUGGGGACAGAAAAAAAAAAGUAUCUGUGAGGAUGGGAGAAGCUGGAACAUGUGGCUAGCUUCACACAUCGAGUUCUGGAGCCACCAAACCUCUUUAAAAGUAGAUUUCAGGCACAAUACAAACUUUCCAAACUUGGUCUCUUCCUAUGUACGCAAACCACCCCCAUGGUGGGGCAACGUGAAGAGAACAAAUGUGUAUAGUAUUAAACAAUGAUUUCA
rnacentral:lncRNA from 1 species